UUUUUUUUUUUUUUUUGGUUAUAAUCAUUACUUCUUUUCUAGAUUCCCUUAUCACACAGACAUUGAUAAUCAGUGAGGAAGUUAACAGGUUUACUAUUUUUGUUAUAAUCGUAAAGUAUUCAUUUGUGUAUCCUGUUGGGUAUUCACAUGAAUUGAACAUAUUCUUCAAAAAACUCAUCUUGCUUCAGGAGCAACUGAACACUAUACUGAGACAGCAUUAAACUGUUUUCUUUCGUCUUUUAAAAAAGCUUUAGCAUCUUUUUUAACUGCCUAGUAUUGUCAAAACUUUUUUCUUUUUUUUUUCCCCCGAGACAGGGUUUCUCUGUGUAGCCCUGGCUGUCCUGGAACUCACUCUGUAGACCAGGCUGGCCUUGAACUCAGAAAUCCACCUGCCUCUGCCUCCCUAAGUGCUGAGAUUAAAGGCACUCGCCACCACCGCCCGACAACUUUUUUCAUUUAAUGAAGUGAGUUUCUCUCUAGUAUCCAAGACAACAAAUAGAUACAGCAAGUGUUCCAGUUUAGACCACUGUUCCAGUCACACUCCAGUCGACAGUUUACUGAUUUCCUGUUUGUUACUUUUUUGAUAGAAUAAGGUCCCUCAAUACAGAAAACUUGCUACAAAUAAACAAGUCGCUCUAAGCAAUAUCUGAUAAAGUAUGUUCAUCCUUAAGAAAGAUUCAAACCUAAAAGGAUCUCCCCUCCUAUUUUUCCCCUCCUAUUUUUUUAAUAUAAACUGUUUAGACUUUUCAAUGAACUUGAUUCAGAAAAAUUUGCACUAUGAAUAUAAAUAAACUGAAGAGCUAGAUUAAAACAAAUUCCUGAUUGGACCUUUUUUGUUUAUUUCUUACACUUAAACACAAAACACACUUGGGAGGAGAUUAUGUGAUACCAGGGAUGUGUCCGUUUUCAUCAGGCACUGGCUUCCCGUUUUGUUUUUCUAUUUCCUUUGCUGGUAUCCAGCACUCUGGGACAGGCUUGAAGUCUUCCUCAGUGUUCCAGUGAAACUCUGUAAGACAUGAAAUACAAAGCUGACAUACAAACUGGAAAUAACAAACCCAUCACUCCUCAGAUGUGCUAAGUCCUCUCUGUUAUCACUGCCAUGUAACUACAUUCCAAAGUAGGGGACUAACUGUAAAUACGCAACUUUUAGUACACUACCACGUUGCACACUACCGUCUAAAGUGCCAAAAUUCUCUGAGGAUUUAUGAGUUUUAAUGUGCUCACUACUUAGUACUUUAUAAGACCUAUACGGAUCAGAAUAGAUAAGUAAUGAAUGUGUAUAGUAGAGUCAUCAGUGAAAUAAUAAAAAAUCUUCAUAUUUAUAACAUGACUUAGAAAAAUAUUUUUAUCAUACAAACAAAAUGAAAAUAUAUCUCAAAUAAUACUGUAUGUUUAAACAGCAUAGAUUGUUUUCCAAUAUUUAUGUGUGGGCAUGUGUCCGCCAGAUUGCCUCUGUCUGUCAGAGCACUGUGUUAAUUUUUUAUUCCUAAAAGUGAUUAUUUUAUAUAUAAGUAAAUAUAUAUGUAUAUAUCUAUGUAUGUGUGUAUAUAUAUAUGUUGGGAGCCGCCCCCACAUUCGCCGUCACAAGAUGGCGCUGACAUCCUGUGUUCUAAGUGGUAAACAAAUAAUCUGCGCAUGUGCCAAGGGUAUUUUACGACUACUUGUACUCUGCCUUUCCCGUGAACGUCAGCUCGGCCAUGGGCUGCAGCCAAUCAGGGAGUGAUGCGUCCUAGGCGAAAUAUAACUCUCCUAAAUAGGGAAGGGGUUUCGGUUUCAUUAUUGAAGGGGCUUUCGCUUUUGGGGUUGGGGGUUUGCGCUCCUAGCUCCUGAAGAUGUAAGCAAUAAAGUUUUGCCGCAGAA
rnacentral:lncRNA from 1 species